rnacentral:rRNA from 1 species
UACGUAGGCAGCGAGCGUUGUUCGGAAUUACUGGGCGUAAAGAGUGUGUAGGCGGUUCUCUAAGUUUGGUGUGAAAUCUCCCGGCUUAACUGGGAGGGUGCGCCGGAAACUGGAGUGCUCGAACGUGGGAGAGGAAAGCGGAAUUCCUGGUGUAGCGGUGAAAUGCGUAGAUAUCAGGAGGAACACCUGCGGUGUAGACGGCUUUCUGGACCAUUGUUGACGCUGAGACACGAAAGCGUGGGUAGCAAACAGG